GGUGGUUUUUGGAUGACGCCUCCUGGAAUCGGGCUCCCUCCUCUCUGGUUCUGAGUGCAUCACCCAAGAACCGCA
rfam:Myotis davidii contig171415, whole genome shotgun sequence.